rnacentral:rRNA from 1 species
GGUACUUGGUUGUCAAGGGCUGAGGUAAUGGCUAGGUGGCAGACUUGUUGCGGAAUUAAUGGGGGUGAAGUGGGAGUAGACGGACUGUGAAGUUAGAUGUAGAAUACCCGGGGGCCACUUGGUUGCUGCAUUUCAGACGAGAAGUUCGGGUUGCAGGAGAGGAGAAUGGAAUUCCUAGUGUAGCGGUGAAAUGCUUAUAGAUUAGGAAGAACACCAGUGGCGAAGGCGAUUCUCUGGACUGUAACUGACGCUGAGGCUCGAAAGCGUGGGGAGCAAACAGGAUUAGAUACCCUUGUAGUC